rnacentral:rRNA from 1 species
CGGCUGACUUAAGCAUAUCAAUAAGCGGAGGAAAAGAAACCAACAGGGAUUGCCCCAGUAACGGCGAGUGAAGCGGCAACAGCUCAAAUUUGAAAUCUGGCCCCCGGGUCCGAGUUGUAAUUUGCAGAGGAUGCUUCGGGCGAGGUGCCUUCCGAGUUCCCUGGAACGGGACGCCACAGAGGGUGAGAGCCCCGUCUGGUCGGACACCGAGCCCGUGUGAAGCUCCUUCGAAGAGUCGAGUAGUUUGGGAAUGCUGCUCAAAACGGGAGGUAUAUGUCUUCUAAAGCUAAAUAUUGGCCAGAGACCGAUAGCGCACAAGUAGAGUGAUCGAAAGAUGAAAAGCACUUUGAAAAGAGGGUUAAAAAGUACGUGAAAUUGUUGAAAGGGAAGCGCCCAUGACCAGACUUGGGCCCGGUGAAUCACCCGGCGUUCUCGCCGGUGCACUUUGCCGGGCACAGGCCAGCAUCAGUUUGGCGCGGGGGAGAAAGGCUUCGGGAACGUGGCUCCCUCGGGAGUGUUAUAGCCCGCUGCGCAAUACCCUGCGCCGGACUGAGGUACGCGCAUCGCAAGGAUGCUGGCGUAAUGGUCAUCAGCGACCCGUCUUGAAACACGGACCAAGGAGUCGUCUUCGUAUGCGAGUGUUCGGGUGUCAAACCCCUACGCGGAAUGAAAGUGAACGCAGGUGAGAGCUUCGGCGCAUCAUCGACCGAUCCUGAUGUUCUCGGAUGGAUUUGAGUAAGAGCAUACGGGGCCGGACCCGAAAGAAGGUGAACUAUGCCUGUAUAGGGUGAAGCCAGAGGAAACUCUGGUGGAAGCUCGCAGCGGUUCUGACGUGCGAAUCGAUCGUCAAAUAUGGGCAUGGGGGCGAAAGACUAAUCGAA